rnacentral:lncRNA from 1 species
GUGCACAACGCAACAUCUUCAAGAAGCGACCAAUUCGUACCUGCACCAGUAGUCAUUUUGUGGAAAAAAAAAUUGGAUGGAAACUUUGAGAGAAAGAUAAGAAUUUGAUUGAAAGUGGUUGAGAAAAUAUGAAAUUGUGGUGUAAGGUAGAUAGAAAAGAAGUGGUAUUUAUAGAAAAGUAAAAACAAUUUUUUACAAUUUUUUUUUCAGAUUUUUUACAAUUUUUUUGGUUUUUUUCCAUUUUAAAAUUUUUUUUUUCCAAUAAUUAAUUUCUACCGUUGGAUUUAAAAAAAUUUGAAUUCCAACACUCCAGAUUGUGCCACGUGUCACAACGGUAACUUUUAUUAAUUUUAAAACUAUUUUUUCUUUAUUUAUAAAGCAUAUUAAUAUAAACCGUUGAUCUCAGAUCGAACGGUUGAUAUUAAAUCAGAUUUUUUUUAUUUUUUUUACCGUUGAGAUCCAACGGUCCAAAUGAAGGAGCCGUUGAGAUCGAACGGACCAUGGGAAGCCACGUGGCUUCCCAACGGUAACUGUGCAAAGCUGAAAAGUUG